UUUAAAUAUCCAAAAUGGAAUAUCACAUUUGUUUUAAUCAAAAAGCACUAAUGUAUCUUGCAAUUUUAUCAAUUCACAGUCAGAAUUUCUCCACUGUGGAAAACAUUUCAGCAGUGGAAGCAUCAUCUCAGGAAAACAUGUCAACAGAUGUCUCAAAACAUGGGGAGAAAAUGGACAUGAAGGCCAAGCUGAUCUCUGAUGGUCAGUCAGGGAAGUCAGAGGAAGACGGGCAGAAAUUAUUGGCCGAGAACCGACGGAACUGCAAUCGGAGAAAUCGCAGAAGAGCUGCACGGCUGGCUCGGGUGAGGGACCUCUUUGCCCAAAGAGGUGGAGGGGCGAAUGGCACUGAAAGAGAUGAAUCGCCUCCAGAAGCAAAUCGGGCACCUCAAGAAGAAACUGUAAAGGAGAAGCAGUCAGAUAUGCAAUCAUUUUCUGAGGCUAUUAGCAAAUCAGAAGCUUUUCCACUUGUUUCUGAAUCAUGCAGGGAACCCAUCUGUGAUGUUCCAAAUGAUACGUCACCAGCACAUGACUUCACAUCUAACAGUGAGCCAGGGAAAUCUGAGAGCAUCAAUGUGGCUGACUCAGCCACAUUAACAGGAGGUGAGAGUGUCACAGAUAUCCCAGACAACAGCUUGCACUCAAAUGAUGAUCCUGCUGCUGCAGAGCACCAACGUAUCAACAAGUCUGUCUCAAAAGCUGAGAAAAGCAGUCAGAAGCAAGGCACAAGUCACGAUUGUACAUCCAACACUGCAGCUGAACCAGCUGACAGUCUUAUUUCAGCACUGAGCACUGAGAGUCUUGUUAGCAAGAGCAGCAGCUUCACAUUUGGAACCGUGGUGGCUCCGCUGUAUCAUCAGGUGUCUGGCAAAGUGGGAAGUGAAAGUCAGAGCGUAGGUGAUUGGGGGAAUCCGGUCCAGGCUACACUGAAUGUUGGAGACUUAACUCAUGCUGAAAGAAGAGACACCAGCUGCACUGUUCAAACAAGUGCUCACAGAGUUCAAGUACAUGUGGUUAAGACUGAAGAAUCAAAGCAAGAAUCCUUAGAUGCCACUCUGAAGAAUCCUCCUGCUGAAGAAGAUGAAAAAAGUUUGAGUAUGACAGCAAAUGACGCCCGGAACCAUGCAGAAACUCAAAAAAAACAUUCAGGAGACACAGUAAUAAGUCCACACACUGUGAACACUUUAAAUGCAGAACUGUCAAAUCCACAAAAACCCACAGAGAGUUUACAUCUCCAGGGAGAAGCACAGGAAGACAAUUCAACCCAUGACCUCCGAAGCCAAACCACAGCAGAAACAGCACAGGCUCAACUGUUGGAGCAUAUGUGUACACAAACUACUACUAAAACCACAACUAAAACUAAUCCAGAUGACAGUUGUGCACAAAGUGAAACAGAGGAUUUCAUGGCCAGUCCAGAAACCUCAUUUAUACCACUCAACAGCUAUGAGUGUGUGGAUGAGUCCAACAAAGACAUAACAAAUGAAAUUUGCAGCACAAUAAUUGAAUCAACAAACAACGGCAUGUCAGAGGAGGAUAAACUAUUGGAAGCUUUACAUGAAUUGAGUCCUAAACACAUCAAUAAUUCAUGUACUAAAGAAACUGAGAGUAGCUAUGUUUCUUGUUUUGAAAUUUUGGAGGAAACAGAUGUCACACCUCAGAUGUCUCUUGAAAAUCACAAAGAAACUAAUGAUGUGGAAGAAGAAAAUGAAGAGGAGAUGAAGAGUAACUAUCACAGGGGCGCUGACACGUUGGUGCAGCUCAAAGAUGAAGACACUUUAAAAGAUAAAGAAAUGAUUGUUUCAGAAGAAAUGGAGGCUGCUGUCUUAAAACAGGAGGAUAUUUGUUUAGCAGACACUGCUGAGGUAAAAAACUGGGAAAUGAUGGUUGAAGAAGAGGAGACGAACAUAUUAACUGAUGAAGAGGAGAGUGUGGCAAUAAGUUCAAAGGCAGAGGAUGCUGAAAAGGUGGAUAAAGACCGAGGACAACAGCUGGAUGACACAGGGAAAGAGACAGCAUUAGAAAAUAGAGAUAUAACAGAGACAGACAACAAGAAAAAAGAGGCAAUGGUGAUGAAGAUUACAGGUGCAAGGGCAAAAGAGAACAAGGCUGAAGAUGCAGAUGCUUCAGGGGACAAACAUUGGAUUGGAGAGGAACGGAUUGUGGAGAUUGUGACAGGGAAAGAUGACGAAGCAUUUGAGAAGGAAUUAAAAUAUGUUCAAGCCAAAAUGACAGCUGGAGAGGAAGAGCUAGCCGAGGAGACUGAGUUAGACAAAAGAGAGGAACAAGACAAUGCAGAGUUUGAGAACGAAGAACUCUUUGCAGAGAUGGAAGAGGACAAGAGAAAAAAUGACAAAGACAGUACAGGAGAAACAGGAGGGCAAAAUGCACACAUCCCAACUGAAAUGGAUUUUUGCAAAGAGGGAGCUUUUCAGAGCAACGAGAAUGUUACACAAGACCUCUUCAAAUCCAUGAGAGAUGAGAGUGAAUCUGCUGCUGCAGAGGGAGGUUCGAGCUUUUUAGCAGAUGAACCUGAAAGUGACCAAUUCGGCCACAACAGUGCAUCAGAGUCUGACUCAGACGAUGAGGUGGAGUUGUACAUGCACUGCCUGAGAGCUGUUCACACCGGAGAACAGGCCCAAAAAGAUAGGAACAAAGAAACAAGCGUCAGUGGGGGCAGAAGGCCGUCUGUCAGCAGAAACAAACUGCUGUCUUCACCCAUGCCAUCCAUCAGUGAGUCUCUGGAUGAAGAACCAAACCUCAGCUGCCUUCAGGACAAUGAUGAAGACAUGGAGACAGCAGACUUCCAACCCACUGCUGUAGCUCUGCUACCGUCAAGUGAGGAACAGGAGAGAAUCAACAGAAACGUUUCAUGGUGGAAAGAGACUUUUUCCUGCAGCAGUAUCUCAAAAACAUUGUUGUGCACCACCUUACUAGUGGUAUUUGCAGUUGUGGCCUUCCAUUAUGAUUUUCUUGCCUGUUUUGGGCUGUACCUGAUAUCAGUGAUUUGGCUUUGCCGUCAGGGUGAGAGGCAGCCAGCGAAAAACAACAGCAGGAUAGGUUGA
ensembl:lncRNA